rnacentral:lncRNA from 1 species
AAGCUGAAUUAGAAUUUUCUAAUUAUUCUUUAACAAUUCAGAUAUGUCCUAAGAAUGGUUUGAUUAGGGUACAACUAUAUGAUUUGCAGUAUUUAUUAUAGUUGUAUAUUCUGGUGAUUCUUUGAUCAUAUCCUUGUGGGCAUGCUCUAUCAUGAAAUAAACUACAAGUCAUCCAUUGUACUUCUUGCAGAUUCUCACCAAUGAUUUUCUAUUAAUUCUACUCGGAUAAAUUGGAACCACUCAUUGCAACUAAGAGCUCAAUAGGCAGUUUCCUACAUUUGGCAGCAAAGGUCUUCCCUAAUACAAAGUAAUUUUUCCACUGAAAAAUAAAACUCAUAGGAAAAGAAGAUGAUUUUUAACUGUUGUUCCUUGAGUGAAUUAACUCUCUCUGCUAUGGUGGGAAGAGGAAAAACAACAACAAAAAACAACCUAAUUUCAAUAUUCUCUUUCAUUGUCAAGAACUUUCAACAGGAAUCUGAGAUUAAGACAGACUAUUUGCUUGUUGGAGAAUAAAUAAGGACUUCCCCUCACUGAAACAGGAGCAUGUAAAACAUGACCAUAACAGAUGAAGAAAUGAUGGAAAACACUAAUAAUUUGCGACUGGAGAUGUGUUUAAAUCACUUGAAAGGAAGAUUCAAUAUAUAGGGAGAAGAAAAACAUUAUAACUAAGAAAUGAAAAACAAUGCCUAACAGUCAUAUCACAAUCUAGAUGAAAGAAGCUGAAGAAUAAAUUGAAAUGAUUUCAAUCUUAUGGAAAAAAA